GUCACAGCCAACCAACCCACUAUUCAUGCGUUCAAGCAUCCUCCCCAUCGAAGAAGUGAGGUACAACCUAUUCUGCAUAGCAACGGUUUCGAAGAAAAGACUAUAGACAGCAAUGACGAGUGCAGUCGUAACAGCACGUGUAAGAAAUGGUUGUGUUGUUCCGGUAAAGGGGAAAGAGAAAUUUGCAAGUAUAAGAGGCUGCGCGAGCGUGACUGCAGUGAUAGGGACAACGACCAUGGCUCUAAAAUUUGCCGAUGUUUUUUGCAGGAAGACUAAAGCAAAGGGCAAAGCUUGCAUGAGCAGCGAGGAGUGCCAAAAAAAUCUGUGUUGCCUGCGACAGCAGUCAACGAAUACAUGCCAG
rnacentral:lncRNA from 1 species